rnacentral:rRNA from 1 species
CUGGCUCAGGACUGAACGCUGGCGGCGUGCCUAACACAUGCAAGUCGAACGAAGCACUGCGGAUGGAGAUUCGUCAAAAUCUGCUUUGACUUAGUGGCGGACGGGUGAGUAAUGUGUGAGCAACCUGCCUUUCAGAGGGGGACAACAGUUGGAAACGACUGCUAAUACCGCAUAAUGUAUUGGAAGGGCAUCCUUUUGAUACCAAAGGAGCAAUCCGCUGAAAGAUGGGCUCACAUCUGAUUAGCUAGUUGGUGGGGUAACGGCCUACCAAGGCUGCGAUCAGUAGCCGGACUGAGAGGUUGAACGGCCACAUUGGGACUGAGAUACGGCCCAGACUCCUACGGGAGGCAGCAGUGGGGAAUAUUGGGCAAUGGGCGAAAGCCUGAACCCCAGCAACGCCGCGUGAAGGAAGAAGGUCUUCGGAUUGUAAACUUCUUUUAUGAGGGACGAAGGACGUGACGGUACCUCAUGAAUAAGCCACGGCUAACUACGUGCCAGCAGCCGC